UUAGCUACCCUAGUUAAGCUGAGACCGACAUCCAGUCCUUGCCGGAUUGUUAGACGAAGUAUUCUGCACCUGGGAACCCGUCAACCUCGCCUGGCCACGGAGACGCCUCCACCUCACCUUGACUCGCCAUUCUGCACGUUGGACUACUCCUGCACAGUGUCAAUAAAGACUCUUUGUUUUCACCUGAA